GUGCGCUCGCAGUCACGUGGCCGCCUGGACCGGUAAGGCUCCUGGUGUCACCCAGCCCGAGGACGUCGCACCUUGGAGCCUGGGACACGGAUCUCAACCAUGCCUCGAAAUUCACAUUCAAGCCGGACUGAUGGUGCAGGCUUAAGAUCUGGGGCAGGAGGGUCUGUGCGACAGUGGAUUUAAGGACAGCCUGGCAACUUGGAAAUGCACAUCAACAGACGUGUGUCCGUGCCACUGAUGAACGAUGUGACUAAUGUGAAGGACGCAGGGCAAGUUCUUUCUGGGUCGCCCAGAUUGGCCUGGAACUUGCAAGACUGUCCAGGCCAACCCCUGUCAGCAUGCCUAUCUCAGCUUCCUGUACCCUGGGUUACAGCCGUGGAUCAACACGCCAGGCAACAGAUCCAGCACUAGGGACUGGGUUCAGGGCCUUGAGCUUUUGUGAAGGUGUCCGCACUGAGCUCACCGCAUCGGCUCCGUGUGAUUUUG